rnacentral:pre_miRNA from 7 species
GACUGCCAGUGGAAAUCGAUUUCCACUGGCGGUUGAGUUAAGAAAACCGCCAGUGGAAAUCAAUUUCCACUGGCGGUC